GAUGAACGCUGGCGGCGUGCCUAAUACAUGCAAGUCGAGCGAACAGAUGAGGAGCUUGCUCCUCUGACGUUAGCGGCGGACGGGUGAGUAACACGUGGAUAACCUACCUAUAAGACUGGGAUAACUUCGGGAAACCGGAGCUAAUACCGGAUAAUAUAUUGAACCGCAUGGUUCAAUAGUGAAAGACGGUUUUGCUGUCACUUAUAGAUGGAUCCGCGCCGCAUUAGCUAGUUGGUAAGGUAACGGCUUACCAAGGCAACGAUGCGUAGCCGACCUGAGAGGGUGAUCGGCCACACUGGAACUGGGACACGGUCCAGACUCCUACGGGAGGCAGCAGUAGGGAAUCUUCCGCAAUGGGCGAAAGCCUGACGGAGCAACGCCGCGUGAGUGAUGAAGGUCUUCGGAUCGUAAAACUCUGUUAUUAGGGAAGAACAAAUGUGUAAGUAACUAUGCACGUCUUGACGGUACCUAAUCAGAAAGCCACGGCUAACUACGUG
rnacentral:rRNA from 1 species